rnacentral:snRNA from 1 species
AGAUAUGAAGGUAAUCUGGCUGCCACAUCUGUUACUCCAUUGAUCACCAGGGCUGAUUUAGCUGAUCUAGCUGGCUGGAUGGUAUCUCCGUGUGCAUCCCUUCCCAAUCUGUGAGCUUGGUCAAAGAGGAUGACCAUUCUUUGACCAGGGGUAAACCAGUAGCUAUGCUCCCUUGCUAGAACCUCCAAACAAGCUCUCAAUAUUAUCAAGAUGUCAUGACAUCCUUUCAAAUUUAGAUUCAAUACAACCCAAUCAAGAUGUCAGCAAGUU